rnacentral:tRNA from 1 species
GCGCCCGUAGCUCAACUGGAUAGAGCAGCGGACUUCUAAUCCGCAGGUUGCAGGUUCGAUUCCUGCCGGGCGUA